rnacentral:rRNA from 1 species
AUACGGAGGGUGCGAGCGUUAAUCGGAAUUACUGGGCGUAAAGCGUACGUAGGCGGUUUGCUAAGUCAGAUGUGAAAGCCCCGGGCUUAACCUGGGAACUGCAUUUGAUACUGGCAGACUUGAGUAUGAUAGAGGGGGGUAGAAUUCCUGGUGUAGCGGUGAAAUGCGUAGAUAUCAGGAGGAAUACCAGUGGCGAAGGCGGCCCCCUGGAUCAAUACUGACGCUGAGGUACGAAAGCGUGGGGAGCGAACAGGAUUAGAUACCCCAGUAGUCC